UGGGGAAUUUUGCACAAUGGGGGGAACCCUGACCGAGCAACGCCGCGUGAGUGAAGAAGGUUUUCGGAUCGUAAAGCUCUGUUGUUAAGGAAGAACGAGUGUGAGAAUGGAAAGUUCAUACUGUGACGGUACUUAACCAGAAAGGGACGGCUAACUACGUGCCAGCAGCCGCGGUAAUACGUAGGUCCCGAGCGUUGUCCGGAUUUAUUGGGCGUAAAGCGAGCGCAGGCGGUUAGAUAAGUCUGAAGUUAAAGGCAGUGGCUCAACCAUUGUAGGCUUUGGAAACUGUUUAACUUGAGUGCAGAAGGGGAGAGUGGAAUUCCAUGUGUAGCGGUGAAAUGCGUAGAUAUAUGGAGGAACACCAGUGGCGAAGGCGACUCUCUGGUCUGUAACUGACGCUGAGGCUCGAAAGCGUGGGGAGCGAACAGG
rnacentral:rRNA from 1 species